GCGGGUGUGGUGAAAUUGGCAUACACGGCAGUUUUAGGUGCUGCUUCCGAGAGGAGUGCAGGUUCAAGUCCUGUCACCCGCACCA
rnacentral:tRNA from 1 species